rnacentral:rRNA from 1 species
CCUACGGGAGGCAGCAGUGGGGAAUAUUGGGCAAUGGGCGCAAGCCUGACCCAGCAACGCCGCGUGAAGGAAGAAGGCUUUCGGGUUGUAAACUUCUUUUCUCAGGGACGAAGCAAGUGACGGUACCUGAGGAAUAAGCCACGGCUAACUACGUGCCAGCAGCCGCGGUAAUACGUAGGUGGCAAGCGUUAUCCGGAUUUACUGGGUGUAAAGGGCGUGUAGGCGGGAAAGCAAGUCAGAUGUGAAAACCAUGGGCUCAACCUGUGGCCUGCAUUUGAAACUGUUUUUCUUGAGUACUGGGGAGGCAGACGGAAUUCCUGGUGUAGCGGUGAAAUGCGUAGAUAUUAGGAGGAACACCAGUGGCGAAGGCGGUCUGCUGGACAGCAACUGACGCUGAGGCGCGAAAGCGUGGGGAGCAAACAGGAUUAGAUACCCCAGUAGUC